AUUGAACGCUGGCGGCAGGCCUAACACAUGUAAGUCGAACGAGUGGCGGACGGGUGAGUAAUGUCUGGGAAACUGCCCGAUGGAGGGGGAUAACUUCUGGAAACGGUAGCUAAUACCGCAUACCAUCGGAUGUGCCCUGAUGGGAUUCGCUCGUAGGUUGGGUAAAGGCUCACCUAGGCGACGAUCCCUAGCUGGUCUGAGAGGAUGACCAUCCACACUGGAACUGAGACACGGUCCAGACUCCUACGGGAGGCAGCAGUGGGGAAUAUUGCACAAUGGGCGCAAGCCUGAUGCAGCCAUGCCGCGGGUAUGAAGAAGGCCUUCGGGUUGUAAAGUACUUUCAGCGGGGAGGCGUUACCCGAAGAAGAAGAACAGGCUAACUCCGUGCCAGCAGACGCGGUAAUUG
rnacentral:rRNA from 1 species